UACGUAGGGGGCAAGCGUUGUCCGGAAUCAUUGGGCGUAAAGAGCGCGUAGGCGGCCCUGUAAGUCCGCUGUGAAAGUCAAGGGCUCAACCCUUGAAUGCCGGUGGAUACUGCAGGGCUAGAGUCCGGAAGAGGCGAGUGGAAUUCCUGGUGUAGCGGUGAAAUGCGUAGAUAUCGGGAGGAACACCAGUGGCGAAGGCGGCUUUCUGGCCUGUUCUUGGACGCUGAGGCGCGAAAGCUAGGGGAGCAAACGGG
rnacentral:rRNA from 1 species